AGAGUUUGAUCAUGGCUCAGGAUGAACGCUAGCUACAGGCUUAACACAUGCAAGUCGAGGGGAAACGACAUCGAAAGCUUGCUUCCGAUAGGCGUCGACCGGCGUACGGGUGAGUAACGCGUAUCCAACCUGCCCACCACUUGGGGAUAACCUUGCGAAAGUAAGACUAAUACCCAAUGACGUCUCUAGAAGACAUCUGAAAGAGAUUAAAGAUUUAUCGGUGAUGGAUGGGGAUGCGUCUGAUUAGCUUGUUGGCGGGGUAACGGCCCACCAAGGCAACGAUCAGUAGGGGUUCUGAGAGGAAGGUCCCCCACAUUGGAACUGAGACACGGUCCAAACUCCUACGGGAGGCAGCA
rnacentral:rRNA from 1 species